rnacentral:tRNA from 3 species
GACCCCGUAGCUCAGCUGGAUAGAGCAGCGGACUUCUAAUCCGCAGGUCGCAGGUUCGAAUCCUGCCGGGGUCGCCA